CUUCAGUCUCUGAAUCUUUCUGAUCUUAUAAAAUUCUUUCCAAAUGUUGGGGGUGGGGGGGUUGUGUUUGUGUGCCUGCCUUUUUAAAAAAGCAGAGAAGAUAACGGAACAUCUUUUAUAGGCUGAAUUUUAUCUCCUCCACCUUCCUCCAACCGGCUGGAGCGAGUUUAAUAAUGGUCAGCGCCUCUGUGUGUUGGAUUUAAUUACGUAGGACACCGCAGACACUUUGCAAGCAAAUGAGCGUGCUAAAUAUUUUAUCAUGCUAUGAGUCCCCUUUUGAGAAAGCUUAAUUGCAGGAAUCUCUAU
rnacentral:lncRNA from 1 species